GGCACGGUGGUGCAGUGGGUAGCACUCUCGCCUCGCAGCAAGAAGGUCCUGGGUUCGAGGUCCCUCCGGGUUC
rnacentral:tRNA from 1 species